GAAACUUUUCGACCAAUAAGCAACAUCGUGGGUGCUGACAUAACGGUAAUGCUUCUCAUGCCGUAGCUGUUUCUCUUGUUCAGCCAUUGCUACAGCCUCAUUCAUUGCCUCAGCAGUUGCCUCAACAUUCCAUGGAUUAAUACGGAUCGCCCCACUUAAGGAAGGAGAACACCCAAUGAAUUCUGACACAACUAGCAUGCUCUUGGCAGGUCCACCUACACCUGAAUCUGUUUCUGCACCCGAUACACCCUGUCGACAGACGAUGUAUUCAUAUGGAGUCAGGUUCAUCCCAUCCCUAACAGCUGUGACAACAACACAUUCAGCAACACUAUAAUAAGCCAUGCGCUCGCUACUUGACACGGACCUAUCAAUAUAAACUACAGGUUCAUAUCCAGGCUUGCCAAAUUGCUUAUUAAUCCUCUUGAAGCUUUCCUGUAUCUCAGCCUGUAUUUCCUCUAAAUCUAUUCCU
rnacentral:misc_RNA from 1 species